rnacentral:misc_RNA from 1 species
AAUGAGAAAAAGAAAACGGAAACAGCGCCCGAAAAGGUAUCUGAGGACCGCAGUUUGCGUUCUUUUUCUUCCUCUCUCGGUGAGUGUGUGUAGGAUCAUAAAGGUGAGCCGCAUAACACGCAGCCGUCACAUCAACAACACCCUCAAUCACAGCAAAAGGGGAAGACGCUUCAACAACACCAUUGUUAGCCUAGCUUUCAGCUCAGCGGGAAAGCGAAGAGAAGGCCAGGAGAGGGUUGGCGAAGGCACUCCUCGUUCUCUGUUUUUAUUUUUCGUUUCGUUUUGCUUUGUAGGCACCCCUCUCUCUUCUCUGCCCUUCUCCCUCUCUUUCGGGGAUAUCAUUCUCCAUCUCCGUCUUGUAUGCGUAUGCGUGACUGUCUGCACGCGAGAGCUGGGCGAGGUACUGAGUCACUGUGGUUUGUUUGAGAGCGUGAGACGUCCGACGCGAAAAAGACAAGAAGCACACGGACACCUACACACACACACACUCAUAAAUACAACGAAGGCGUGUCCGAAGACGAAGAGGGGCAAUACGAGUAACGACGUCAAAAAAGGUGCUAAGAGACAAAAGAAAGGACACAUCAGUCACAGCAGAAAGCAGCCAUCAUUUUGCGUGUGCUUGUGUGUGCUUGUGUGUGUGUGUGUGUGUGUGUGACUUCUUAUAUUGUUCCAGAGUGUGCUCUUGCUGAGAGUGGGAGCUGUGCAGCAGCAUCCUUCGUCUUUUUCCCCUCUUUUUCGCGUGCAUUCUAUUCCCCUUCCCUCUUCAGCUCUCUCUCGAUCUCCGCACUUGUGUGUCGGCGUUUAUUCAGGUCACUCCUUCUUUCUUCAUUUUGUUUUUGCACGUGACUUUCUCGUACAUCGUUGGCCAUUUUUUCCUCUGUUAUAUCUGUUGUUCUCAUUCCGGGGUUUUUUCCUUCUUCCUUUUCCUCUGUGUGCUGUCGCGACUUCUGUACACGGUGUUCCAGUGCCGGUGAACGCUCGUUCCUUUUUUUGCUUUCUCUCUGUCUCUGUCUCUGUCUCUCUCUGUGUGUGUGUGUGUGUGAUCGUCUUCCUUCUUCGUUUUUUUUUUGCCUUUCUCGCUGUCUCACUUUCGUGGGUUUGAAUACUGCGAGUUCCUUUUUUGCUUUUUAUAUUUGAACUUUUUUUUUCCACGUCUUGAUUGUGCAUGUUUGCUUCGCCUUUCUCUUGUUGUGUGCCCAGGUCGAACCCGCUGCUCUUUCUUUGUGUAGCAUUACAACUCUCUUGUCGGUGCCUCUGGCGGUGUGCAGUGCCGUUGUUGUCUCAUCGCUGAAGGAAGAGGAAAGCACACGCACACAUAUAUAUAUAUAUAUAUACGCACGGACAUAGUUACGUACACACACGCUACUGGGUAGGUGUACCGAGUGUGUGUGCGUGUAUGGGUGCACACAUAUCUAGAGCGCGUGCCUUUCGUUUUGCCCCUUUUCUUUUUGUUGCGUGGCGCUCUUCCUCCUUUCCUGUUUUCUUUUCCCCCUUUGGUCGUGGUCGCGACUGCCUUGGUCGUGGGUGGCCAUCCGUUGACGUGCAUGAAGUGCGUGUCUGUUCUGCCUUUUCGUAUCUCCAUUUUUUUAUUUACGAAUCUCUCUCUGUCUUACUCUCUGCUUCUUUCCUCCUCUGCGGUGCUAUAGUGAACUGAGGUUCGCACUGUGCUUGUGCCUCCUAGUGUGUAUCUGUCCGUCGUCUGCACGGGUGCUGCCGCGUGUGGGCCGUUCAUCUCACGCCGCAUUUUCUUUUGUUUUCGCAGGUACGUUUCGCGCCAACUUUGCAGAAAGGCCUUGAGGCUGGGUCAUAACGCUAUCCGGUAUCGCGAGCUUUCUGUGCGUGGUUUUGCGCGUGCGUGUGCAGCCGAGUAUCUGUCUCUCUAGUCCGCCCGUUGGUGCGGCACUCAUGGAGCCACAUCAACCGUUUAUGUACGGAGGGGCGCUGCACCCCUGCACGAACGGUCGCUAUCCAGCGUCGCCGUACAUGUUUUCACACCGUGGCCGCAUGAUGAUAGGACCAUCGCCGGCGCAGAUGUAUCGCUCCUCUAGCAUAGGCGGCGCGGCGCCCGUAAUGACGAACGGACAGCUUCAGAAUAACCAGCGGGCUGUGAACAUGAACGGCGGUGCUCUACCGGCCCUCCAUGGGACGCACAUGAUGGCACACAAUAGAAUAGCCCUAGUAAAGAGCAGCGGCGUUGCACCAGUGCCGAUGCCGCCGCCAGCGGUGCCAGGGACUGGUCACGUGCGCCGCUCUGCAGGACCGAUGCGGUCGCAACCGAUAGAGUACCGGGCCAAUGGCAUCUACCUACGCGGCAUGCCGAUAGGUGCUAACGCCUCCGGUGGGCCGUCCUUCCAGAGUGGUGUGAACAGAACCGGAAACGGCACCACGCGCAAGAACGGCAUGACGAUCAACGGGAUACAAAAUAUCAGCAUGAUGGGCGGGCGCAAUGAGGUGACCGUGAAGUCUGCUGGCAACAGCGUUACGCAGCGCGUCGCGAACCUGCCGACUCUUCCGUCCACUAGCGCAUCCAUGCAGGGUCUGCAGAGCGACUUCUACUCAAUGCCGCCGCCACCCAUGAUUCACGCCGGCUUUCAGAACGGCAUGAUGAUGCCAGCGUACAGCGGCGGCUAUAGGCAGCUGAGUGCCAACGGCGUGAGAGGCGCUUACCGCGAGUUGAACGAGAUGGGGGAGGGCGGCAAGGUCUCGACCAUGCAGGCCGACGACGGCAAGAUGCGCGACGCGGACUCGGUGACACCGAGCUUGUCACCAAACAGCAAUGUCCAGAAUAGGUGCAAGGUGAACACCCCGCCGCUAGCGCAAGCCGACGAGUACACCGGACUCACGCCAACGCCGCCGUCGCUGCGCUUCUUGACGAGCUACGAGGAGGAAGAAGUGAAGGACUAUCUGCCGAGCGUCUACUUUGGUGGGACGGAGCAGUGCAAGAAGAUUCACGGUGUCCGUGGCACCGAGAAGAACGACGGCUACGACGACGACAACUUCCACUACCGCGUCGUCGUCGGCGACCACUUGCUGUAUCGGUACGAAGUGGUGAAGGUACUCGGCCAAGGCACCUUCGGCAUCGUUGUGCGCGCGCUCGACCACAAGCACCACCGCCUCGUAGCUGUGAAGGUCAUCAAGAACAAGCCGAACUACACGAAACAGGCCCGCGAAGAAAUCAAGACACUAGAGCUGCUGAACAGGGACGAUCCCGAUGAUGAGGCGAACAUUGUUCGCCUACUCGGCUCCCACAUCUUCCGCAAGCACUACAUUUUAGUGUUUGAAUUGCUCCCCUCUGACCUCUAUGCAAUCAUUCAGACCAACAAAUUCCGCCCCAUGUCGCACGACUUCAUCUACGAGCUUUCAGAGCAGCUGCUCACCGCCCUUGUGCACGUGCGAGACCACAAGAUCGUGCACUGCGACUUGAAGCCAGAGAACAUUAUGAUCUCUCGCCGCGGCGGCAACUCCAACUCGCUGGGCGAGUCGUCCGACUUUUCUCUGAAGCUGAUUGACUUUGGCUCCGCUUGUGAGGAAAGUCGGCCCCUGUUCACCUACAUCCAGUCGCGCUACUACCGUGCGCCGGAGAUUGUGCUUGGCAUUCCGUACACGACAGCCAUUGACAUGUGGAGCUUUGGCUGCGUGCUGUGCGAGCUCGCCAACGGCUACCCGAUAUUCCCGGCAAGCUCCGAGGGGGAGCUGCUGGAGCGCCUCGUGGAGUACUUUGGCACGAUUCCGUCGUACCUGGUGCAACAGGGCCGCCGCGCCGAUCGGUUCUUUGAAGACGGGCAGAUGAAGCACAACCUAGGCAAGAAGCGCAUUCCGCAUGCACCGCACAGCCGAGCGCUGAGGAACUUCUUGAAGGUUGGGCGGAGCCACGAGGACCAGCUCUUCGAGGACUUCGUUUCGAAAUGCUUGCAUCUUGACGCGCGGCAGCGACUCACGCCAGAGGCGGCGCUCGAGCACCCGUGGAUGGAGCUCUGGCGAGGCACCAGUAGUAGAGGGAGCACGGCGUCGCUCUCUGAUUCUUGCUCCCUGUCUCGCUAACCCAUCUAUUUGUUUUCUCCUAAUGCUCACGGGCGUAAGCGCGAGCGGAUGAGAACAGACAUGUGUGUGCCUGCUACAAACGGGUGCACGCAAACAGCAUGGAAGUGAUGGGGCUAGGGCGGCCGGUAAAAGAUGGGCGACAGCGUCUCUUACCUCCGACUUCUCUGCAUCGGGAUGGCGUUUCUCGUGGCCAAGGCUGUGAUGUUGGCAUCCUUCAGUCGCGCGACUGCUGUUCCGAUGGAAGCUGCAAGCGGCGGCAUCUUUUCAGGCGGAGAGCACACUCGUCGACGAGAUGGCACAGCGGUAGUGCGCAUUACGCCUCUCUCGGUCUCUCUCGUCCUGUGCAUCUAUAAAUCUAUUUCGGCGUGCAUGCGCUUGCUUGAGUGCCGUUUUUUUUUUUUUUGGGGGGUGGCUCUCGCGCUCUUUGCUCUGUUUGCCCUCUUUUUUCCCAUCUCUCUUGCCUGCCCUUCCACCACUGUCUGCACGUUUCGUCUGUGAGUUUUUUUGCUCCUUUUUUAGGCUACCUUGUGUUUUAGUCUCGCUUCCUUCCCCCUCCCUCCACGACUCUUCAUGUGUACACGGAUGCGCCCCCCUUCUACCUCCUCGUCGCCGCAUUGCCUUUCGUUUUUUUUUUUGCUAUUCUAUCUGAUCAGUUUUUUCGUAUCUUUUUAUUUUGCCACUUGCCCCUCCCUCUCUCCCCUUGUCCGUAGGUGCCCCGUCUCCGCCUUUAUCUCUACUGCUUGUCAUCCCUUCCCUUCCCGGUGUAUUUGUGUUUGCCUACACUUCUGUGUGCGACUCGGGGAGACUGCAGUGACCUCGUUGAAGGAUCGCACCGAGACACGCUUGUGACGGUCGCCCUUUUCGCGCCCCCAUUUCCCUAUUUGCUUUCGGUUCCCGUUCACGUCAACAUCAGCGCUAUCGAGCCGAAUCACGAGCAAGGUUGCGCACUGGAGGAUGGCUGGAGAGCGCCAGCAUUGGUUUCUCUCCGUGCUCACCUCUCCUCUCUCCUUCUCUGUGCAAGGUUCUUUAGCGCCGCAUCUCUUCCUUCCAGGCUCCGCCUCACGCACUGCUUCUACAAUACCUUUUCUUAUUGACUCUUUUUUUUCGGCACUAUUUAUUCGCCUCUCACAAGAACGCUGCUGCGAUACGAUGCUGUGAUGGUGGCGGCAGCGUUGAGCGCUGCCAGCGCACACCUACAUGCACGCCUCCUCCACUCUUUCCUCGGUUCCAAUUCUGUCGCUGCGCAUGGCAGCGAGUGAUAGCGAGAAGGGAUCAAAGAAAAAGAAGAAAAGAGUUAAGGCGCAUCUCCUGAGCAGCGGAAACCGGUGCUUUUUUUCUGCAUUGCUUUGGCUAUCUCUCGGUGUUAUGCCCACUGGAAGUUGUGCGCUUGAACGCAGGCAGCCCCCAUCUCCCCUCCUGCUCCUUUCCCUCCCCUGAACACACUCGCGCGCAGACGUAUAGCUGCCGUAGGAGCCUCUUUUUUUUUCGCGCCACCCCCUCCUCUCUUGUUCUUUCUUUGCUUUCACUCCUGAAAACCUUUGAAGCAGCAACGUGUGCCGGUGUGCCUGUGCGUGCAAUUUACUUGAAUCGACUUGUACCUCCCUUCCUUCCCCUUUUUUCUUUGCUCUGCGCCCAUCUUGGUGCAUAGCACCCCGUCGCUUUACCUCAGCAAGUGAGCUGCGAUGAUGCUCCCCUCUCCCUCUCUACACGCCGCAUACCAGGGGAUGAAGAAACAAAGAAGGAAAUAGAACCCCCACCCUCCACACACACACACACACACACACAUACAAGAGAAGCUGCGCGCAUCUUUUUUUUUUUGAUUUUGCCUUAAUGGGUGCUGUGGCGCCUUCUCUCUCUUCCCCCCUUUCUUCGAGUGUGCGUGUGCGCCUGUGCGUGCUUAUCUUUUUCCCCCUUUUGUUUGUUUCACUCUUCUUGUUGUAUGCAUGCACUCAUUUCUUCGCCUUUGACUGCUGCGGCAUUUUUUUCUUUCUUCGCAUAUUUCAGUGCCACGAUUUUUUUUUUCGCCCCACCCUUUUCUUGUUUCUCGUCUUCUCCCUCCCUCCCUCUGUUGGGUUUCGCUUUCGCUUCCCUUGCGUCGCCGAGCCCCCCUUUUUGGUUUUACUUUUAAGGAUUGGAUGCUGUCGGUGCGAUAUUAAAAGGAGGAGACGCGCAGCAACAACAAUAACAAAAAAUAAAAUUCGGUAAAAAAGGUGUCGCCUGCACAUAAUUUUCCCUCCCCCUUCUCGUCCUUUCCGCCGAUAACGUUGAUGUCACCUCCGCGGACCCCCUUGCGGUGCAGUGAGUGGGAAGGAAGCGAGAUCGAGGCCGGUGCAGAGAUAUCUUCUCCAGGAAGUAAGGAGGACGCCACCCGCUGGAACAAAAGACAUGGAGGCCCAGGAGGAUGGAGGGCGCGGAACGUGACUUGACAAGGGGUCAGCAGCGCGCCUCCGUCGUCGUUGUGCUGCGAGCAGAGUCUUGCGCAUACACCUCCCACUAUAAAUGCUCACAAACGUCUUUACGGUUGCACAUGGGCGUUAAGCAACGACCGGGAUGCACAAUGCGGCGGAUGGGCGCAUGCGCACACAUACACGUAUGUAUGGACGUCGUGUUCGUGCCACGCGAAUUGUCUUGUACCCAUGUGUGGCCCGUCGGCAUCCCCAGUCGCUGGGAUCGUGACUCCUCGCGUGUGAUGCAGCUUUUCUUCUAUGCUUUGCGUACGCAGCUUUUUUCUUUUGGAGGGACAGGCGCUCUCGAUCUCUCUCCGUCUUUGCCCCCGCCUGGGCGCGUGCGUUGCGCACUCCUUCUCUUCCCCUUUCUCAUCGGCGUGCGUUUGCUUGCCUUAUACGGUGCAUGUGUGAGUGCGCAUCGUUUUCCAUGCGUAUGUACGUGUGUCUCCGUGCCCUUGUGCACGUAUACAGUCAUGAAAGUUGAUGCGCGAAGUUUUGAGCGCCUUCCAGGUCGUGGAGUCCUCUCCUUUUCUGGCCUGCAAACCAGUAAGCACCCACAGACAGACACUCACAACAAGACACUCCAUUGAAUAAAUCACCUCGACCAUACUUGUGUGCGCCCCGCUGCUUUUUUCUCGUUUCGUUGCUUUCGUCUGCUUUCCGCUUCCGCAUUACUCCGCUUCACCCAGAGUCGCCUUUUUUUUCGUUUUCCCUCCUUUUCUUUCGUUGUAGCGUUGAUACUGCCCUUCCUUCUCUGCCUCCCUCUCUCUCGCUUUCUGUUCUUUUUCUGCUCUUUUUUGCCAGUUGCUCGAAAGGAAAGAUAAAAGCACAGAGAUGCUGACGUCUUGUGGCCUCUCUCACAUGCUCCUCUCUUUCCAGCGGCACCUCCCCUUACCCCCUCCUCCGCCUCCUGCUCCACAAAGACACAUUUGCAAAUUCCAUUCUUCGUCUUUUUCAUCCCUUCGGAUUCUAUCUGCUUACCUCAACAUGCAGCGUGCUGUCUUUCCUUCUUUUUGUUUUCGCUUCUUUCCUUCCAUUCUUGUUUCUGUUUGCUUUUCUGUGUAGGUCCUCCUCGUCUCGCCGCUCGUGAGUGUAUGCUCUGGCUGCCCCCCUCUCUCUCGCGCAGUCUCUUCUUUUUCCAGAUUCGCCACACACCCGUGCGAUGAUACGUCGGUUCGAAUCUUCGCUUACCUGUCGCUCUCUCCCUAUUAUCUUCAAAUGCUUCUCUUCCCGUCUGUACUCUCCCCCUUCUGCUCUGCCUUGCGUUGUGCUGAUUAACUCUCCCUCUGUGCGGCUCGACGUCCUUUGGCUUUUCCCACCCAAUGCCGUCGCUGACUUGCCUGACUUCUCGUUACCUGUAUCUUCUAAAGGGAGGAAGGGGAAGCCUCUUAUGGGACUGUCUGUGUGCCCCACGUGUGCGCGAGAAAAAAGAAGGAUGCAGUAGACUUGUCUCGUGAGUUGCUGAUGGGAUAACCAGCUAGCUUAGCUUAUUCGCAACGAAACGAAAAUCGACUUCACUUGAUGUGUGUGCGUGGGCGCUUGUUUUUGCUUGCUUUUCUAGUGUUUCCGUUUCCUUUUUCUUCUCUCCCUCCCUCCUCCUUGCGUUUCUGUGAGCGUGCGCGCGCCUCUGCGUCGUCCUUGCGCGUGUGGCUCUGAAUCGGCGCUCAUCUUUGGUGUUUUUUUUUCUCGGUGGGGCUGUCUACUUUUCUUUCCCUCUCUUUCCCUCUCUUCCCCCCUCCCCUCCAGCGCCGCUUUCUCUUGUCAUCUCCCCUUCAUUCUUGCGACGCUGUUUUUAUGUGUGUGUGUGUUGUACGACUGCUGCUCGCCCAUCUCCCCUUUCUCUACUUCAUCGUGAUCGCUUUUCUAUUUUUUUUUUCGUGUGAAUCUUUUUUUUGUUUGAGGUGUGGUUUGGGGGAGGGUUGGCUUGGAUCGGCUUCUUUUUGAUCUGUUAGCGCCUUUUUAUUUUCAGUAUCGCCGUUUCCCUCGUUCACGCGGUUCAUGUUUGCAUGAUGGUGUCAAACUUAUCGAGCGAGUAUUGUUAUUUUCGGAUUUGUGCAGGAACGGCAUAGGAGGCCAGAGAAGCGCGCACGCACGCACGCGAGAGGGAAGAGGGAGGUGUGUGUGUGUGAAAUGAGCUUCACUGGAACGUAAUACCCUUGCUCGGUGAUAAUGCACUGCCCGAUGGUGCUGAUGAAAACACCCCUGACUCGCCUCUAACUCUCGUUCCCUUUUUUGUGUGCGUGACCGGCUACUUCUAUUUCUUCCCUCUCUUCUCAAUCUGUUGCUCACGCUACCGUCUGCCUUCGCUUCUCUCUCUCGCGCGCGUGUAUGUCCCCGUUGUUGUCUGCGCUCUUUGCAUUUCCGGAGGAGGGGAUUGUGCAAGUCACUGUGUGGUGGCGCGGCGUUCUCUUUUUCUCUCUCACGCACAUUUCGACCCCCUCCUCCUCGCUUCCUUUCCUGCUGCGCAGCAAGUGAGUGCCUCUCGCCCUUUUUUUUUGUGUUGUCUCUGUAUGAAUUGAUGUUGCUCAGACUCCUUCGUUGGCUGCGACGAGUGAACGCUAUGCAAUAUUCAUCAUGCUCCCCUUUUGUAUUCGGGUAUUCGGCUUUCUUGUGUCUCGCUCUCUCUCUUCAUUCAUUUCCCUCCCCCUCUCCGGCUCUCCUUUAUCCUGUGGAUGCGCUUGCAUCGCGCAUUAUGUGUUUUUCUGGCUCUUCCUCCACCCCGUAAGCUUUCCCUGUCUGCCCUGAACGUCUCUCGUGCUCGUUUUUUUCGUCUCUCUCCUGCGUCGCAUCGGGUGCGCAUGAAUAAUCCAGUGCUGACAACGUCGUUGCCGUGCAGAGGUUGACAGAGAGCGGGGCGGUUGCGGGCAGGAGCGAAGCGAGGGAGAGGAGACAACUCUGCUUGGGCGACAAGCGAGAGCGGCGUUGCCACCGCAAGAAGCAGAGUAAAGAAGAGGGCGAAAGUUGUGGGAGACGGCGUGGCAGGGAUGGAGACCACCGCGGCAGACCCGCCGUCUUCCGCUUUCAUAGCUCAAAUACGCACGGACGCACAAAGGAAAGAAAAAAAAAGGAACGCUCACAAAAAAAACACACAAAACACAAAACAGUCGAUGUGCCGUGCCGAUCGUCACCUCGCUCGAGAGAACUCCAGCCGGAGGCUGGACCACUACUUUCUCCUCCACAUACAUGCGCAUAAAAAAGAAGGCCAUCAGUGCACAAGAACAGCAGCGAAAAAACCGAAUCAGCACAGAGAUGCAUGUCGAGGACGCAAGGGAAGGCGCAGCCGUCUUGAGUCUGUAUACCCUUUCCUGUCUCUCUCUUCUCUCUUGCUGGAGAGGCGCGCGUGCCUGCACCUUGUGUAGGCGCCGAGUACUGGAGUGGGGCUGCGGCACUUCCGGCCUACUUUUUCGUAGGCAGCACGGCACUUUAUCGUCACUCGCAGCGAGUGGAAAAGAGGCGCUAUGCUGCUCUGCAGAAUGGCAAGGUGGCGUGUGCGAAUGAACCCGUGCAGUGUGCACGCGUGGAACUCACGGUUUUGCACCUCCGAUGAUGCUGCUGCCAUCAGGUGUGCAACCGUACACGCACGAAUACCUCUGCCGAAGUGCGCCUUCCCCCCUCUCAGUCCGUCUUGUUUUCAUUUGUGGCAACUCCCUGAGGUCAAUUCCAUCCUCUUUUUUUCCGUCCUCUCCGUCCUCGCUUGGCCGCCUGAGGGUUGCACUACCUGCGGUGUCGAUGCCUCCACCCCACUCCCCUUCACUCGCGCAUCUGUUUCUCGUCAUCGUCGCCACAUGGCUCGCACGUGAG